rnacentral:rRNA from 1 species
CAUAUCAAUAAGCGGAGGAAAAGAAACCAACAGGGAUUGCCUCAGUAACGGCGAGUGAAGCGGCAACAGCUCAAAUUUGAAAUCUGGCUCCUUCGGGGCCCGAGUUGUAAUUUGCAGAGGAUGCUUCGGGUACGGGUUCCUUCCGAGUUCCCUGGAACGGGACGCCAUAGAGGGUGAGAGCCCCGUCUGGUAGGACACCCAGCCCGUGUGAAGCUCCCUCGACGAGUCGAGUAGUUUGGGAAUGCUGCUCUAACGGGAGGUAUACUCCUUCCAAGGCUAAAUACCGGCUGGAGACCGAUAGCGCACAAGUAGAGUGAUCGAAAGAUGAAAAGCACUUUGAAAAGAGAGUCAAAUAGCACGUGAAAUUGUUGAAAGGGAAGCGCUCGCUACCAGACAUGGGUUCGGCGGUUCAACCGGGGCCACGCCCCGGGGCACUCCGCCGGCCCAGGCCAGCAUCAGCUUUCCGUCGGGGGCAAAGGCGUCGGGAAUGUGGCUCUCCUUCGGGGGAGUGUUAUAGCCCGGCGUGUCAUACCCUUCGGGGGGCUGAGGUACGCGCUUCUGCAAGGAUGCUGGCGUAAUGGUAGCUAGUGAC